CCUACGGGUGGCAGCAGUGAGGAAUAUUGGUCAAUGGCCGCAAGGCUGAACCAGCCAAGUAGCGUGAGGGAUGCCUGCCCUAUGGGUUGUAAACCUCUUUUAUGAGGGGAUAAAGGUGUCCACGUGUGGAUGUUUGCAUGUACCGCAUGAAUAAGGAACGGCUAAUUCCGUGCCAGCAGCCGCGGUAAUACGGAAGGUCCGAGCGUUAUCCGGAUUUAUUGGGUUUAAAGGGAGCGUAGGCCGGUCUUUAAGCGGGCCGUGAAAUUUUGUGGCUCAACCAUGAGAGUGCAGCGCGGACUGGCGACCUUGAGUGCGCUGAAGGCAGGCGGAAUUCGUGGUGUAGCGGUGAAAUGCUUAGAUAUCACGAAGAACCCCGAUUGCGAAGGCAGCCUUCCAAAGCGCUACUGACGCUGAAGCUCGAAAGCGCGGGUAUCGAACAGGAUUAGAUACCCGGGUAGUC
rnacentral:rRNA from 1 species